rnacentral:rRNA from 1 species
AUUGAACGCUGGCGGCAGGCCUAACACAUGCAUGUCGAGCGGAUGAAGGGAGCUUGCUCCUGGAUUCAGCGGCGGACGGGUGAGUAAUGCCUAGGAAUCUGCCUGGUAGUGGGGGAUAACGUCCGGAAACGGGCGCUAAUACCGCAUACGUCCUGAGGGAGAAAGUGGGGGAUCUUCGGACCUCACGCUAUCAGAUGAGCCUAGGUCGGAUUAGCUAGUUGGUGGGGUAAAGGCCUACCAAGGCGACGAUCCGUAACUGGUCUGAGAGGAUGAUCAGUCACACUGGAACUGAGACACGGUCCAGACUCCUACGGGAGUCAGCAGUGGGGAAUAUUGGACAAUGGGCGAAAGCCUGAUCCAGCCAUGCCGCGUGUGUGAAGAAGGUCUUCGGAUUGUAAAGCACUUUAAGUUGGGAGGAAGGGCAGUAAGUUAAUACCUUGCUGUUUUGACGUUACCAGCAGAAUAAGCACCGGCUAACUUCGUG